rnacentral:rRNA from 1 species
GUGGGGAAUCUUCCGCAAUGGACGAAAGUCUGACGGAGCAACGCCGCGUGAACGAUGACGGCCUUCGGGUUGUAAAGUUCUGUUAUACGGGACGAAUGGUACGACGGUCAAUACCCGUCGUAAGUGACGGUACCGUAAGAGAAAGCCACGGCUAACUACGUGCCAGCAGCCGCGGUAAUACGUAGGUGGCAAGCGUUGUCCGGAAUUAUUGGGCGUAAAGGGCGCGCAGGCGGCGUCGUAAGUCGGUCUUAAAAGUGCGGGGCUUAACCCCGUGAGGGGACCGAAACUGCGAUGCUAGAGUAUCGGAGAGGAAAGCGGAAUUCCUAGUGUAGCGGUGAAAUGCGUAGAUAUUAGGAGGAACACCAGUGGCGAAAGCGGCUUUCUGGACGACAACUGACGCUGAGGCGCGAAAGCCAGGGGAGCAAACGGGAUUAGAUACCCGUGUAGUCC